CCUACGGGUGGCAGCAGUGGGGAAUAUUGGGCAAUGGGCGCAAGCCUGACCCAGCAACGCCGCGUGAAGGAAGAAGGCUUUCGGGUUGUAAACUUCUUUUAGGAGGGAAGAGCAGAAGACGGUACCUCUUGAAUAAGCCACGGCUAACUACGUGCCAGAAGCCGCGGUAAUACGUGGGUGGCAAGCGUUGUCCGGAUUUACUGGGUGUAAAGGGCGUGUAGCCGGGCUGACAAGUCAGAUGUGAAAGCCCGUGGCUAAACCCCGGAACUGCAUGUGAAACGGUCGGUCUUGAGUAUCGGAGAGGCAGGCGGAAUUCCUAGUGUAGCGGUGAAAUGCGUAGAUAUUAGGAGGAACACCAGUGGCGAAGGCGGCCUGCUGGACGACAACUGACGGUGAGGCGCGAAAGCGUGGGGAGCAAACAGGAUUAGAUACCCCAGUAGUC
rnacentral:rRNA from 1 species